AAAAAGACCAUUCGGCUCCCUAACUAUUUCUCCUACCCUCUCUUUUUGUUAGGGGGUUAAAAUUCAUUAUGUUUCUCAUUCAUCCUACUCUUUUACAAACGUGUCCGAGCAGAAGUUUUUUCUCUUAUUACAAGUCGUGUGAUGUGUGAUAUAUAUGAUCCACGUACAAAUGAACACCCCUUGAGCAAGGAAUUCCCAUUUGAAUAAUUCACAAUCCAUAUCAUUGCUCAUACUGAAACUUUUACAAAGUCUUCUUUUGGAAGAUUCAAUAAAGGAAAUUACCCGUACAAGACUUUUAAGACUUUUUUCGUCUUUUUUAAUUGACAUAGACCCAAGUCAUAUAGUAAAAUG
rnacentral:misc_RNA from 1 species